GCGCCCGUAGCUCAGCGGAUAGAGCAGCCGCCUUCUAAGCGGUUGGUCGUAGGUUCGACCCCUACCGGGCGCA
rnacentral:tRNA from 1 species